UGAUGCGGUAGAGGAGCGUUCUGUAAGCCUGUGAAGGUGAGUUGAGAAGCUUGCUGGAGGUAUCAGAAGUGCGAAUGCUGACAUGAGUAACGACAAUGGGUGUGAAAAACACCCACGCCGAAAGACCAAGGUUUCCUGCGCAACGUUAAUCGACGCAGGGUUAGUCGGUCCCUAAGGCGAGGCUGAAAAGCGUAGUCGAUGGAAAACAGGUUAAUAUUCCUGUACUUCUGGUUAUUGCGAUGGAGGGACGGAGAAGGCUAGGCCAGCUUGGCGUUGGUUGUCCAAGUUUAAGGUGGUAGGCUGGAAUCUUAGGUAAAUCCGGGAUUCUAAGGCCGAGAGCUGAUGACGAGUUAUCUUUUAGAUAACGAAGUGGUUGAUGCCAUGCUUCCAAGAAAAGCUUCUAAGCUUCAGAUAACCAGGAACCGUACCCCAAACCGACACAGGUGGUUGGGUAGAGAAUACCAAGGCGCUUGAGAGAACUCGGGUGAAGGAACUAGGCAAAAUGGCACCGUAACUUCGGGAGAAGGUGCGCCGAUGAGGGUGAAGCAUUUACUGCGUAAGCUCACGUCGGUCGAAGAUACCAGGCCGCUGCGACUGUUUAUUAAAAACACAGCACUCUGCAAACACGAAAGUGGACGUAUAGGGUGUGACGCCUGCCCGGUGCCGGAAGGUUAAUUGAUGGGGUUAGCUAACGCGAAGCUCUUGAUCGAAGCCCCGGUAAACGGCGGCCGUAACUAUAACGGUCCUAAGGUAGCGAAAUUCCUUGUCGGGUAAGUUCCGACCUGCACGAAUGGCGUAACGAUGGCGGCGCUGUCUCCACCCGAGACUCAGUGAAAUUGAAAUCGCUGUGAAGAUGCAGUGUAUCCGCGGCUAGACGGAAAGACCCCGUGAACCUUUACUAUAGCUUUGCACUGGACUUUGAAUUUGCUUGUGUAGGAUAGGUGGGAGGCUUUGAAGCGUGAACGCCAGUUUGCGUGGAGCCAUCCUUGAAAUACCACCCUGGCAACUUUGAGGUUCUAACUCAGGUCCGUUAUCCGGAUCGAGGACAGUGUAUGGUGGGUAGUUUGACUGGGGCGGUCUCCUCCUAAAGAGUAACGGAGGAGUACGAAGGUGCGCUCAGACCGGUCGGAAAUCGGUCGUAGAGUAUAAAGGCAAAAGCGCGCUUGACUGCGAGACAGACACGUCGAGCAGGUACGAAAGUAGGUCUUAGUGAUCCGGUGGUUCUGUAUGGAAGGGCCAUCGCUCAACGGAUAAAAGGUACUCCGGGGAUAACAGGCUGAUACCGCCCAAGAGUUCAUAUCGACGGCGGUGUUUGGCACCUCGAUGUCGGCUCAUCACAUCCUGGGGCUGAAGCCGGUCCCAAGGGUAUGGCUGUUCGCCAUUUAAAGUGGUACGCGAGCUGGGUUUAGAACGUCGUGAGACAGUUCGGUCCCUAUCUGCCGUGGACGUUUGAGAUUUGAGAGGGGCUGCUCCUAGUACGAGAGGACCGGAGUGGACGAACCUCUGGUGUUCCGGUUGUCACGCCAGUGGCAUUGCCGGGUAGCUAUGUUCGGGAAAGAUAACCGCUGAAAGCAUCUAAGCGGGAAACUUGCCUCAAGAUGAGAUCUCACUGGAACCUUGAGUUCCCUAAAGGGCCGUCGAAGACUACGACGUUGAUAGGUUGGGUGUGUAAGCGCUGUGAGGCGUUGAGCUAACCAAUACUAAUUGCCCGUGAGGCUUGACCAUAUAACACCCAAGCAAUU
rnacentral:rRNA from 1 species